rnacentral:lncRNA from 1 species
GAUAUUGAGGUGCCCCGAUGAGCAGGGUGGCAGCUCCCUUGUAGCUGGUGAAGACGUUCCUGCUGACUUCGUCUUGCUGGAGGAAACCUUGACCAGUCGCUCAGUUCUCACAAGAGGAACUUGUGUGACCGGCUGCUCGCAAGAUUCUUCCGACAGCAGUGUCCGAGGCGCUGAACAAGCUUCACAAGACUGUACUGAAGACGUGUCCGCCAACAGCUCCACGCCUGAAUGCCCUACAGCCAAUGUGAUUUCCUGUGUGCCAGAGACAAGGUCUCCAUCACAGAAGUACAAGCAAACCAUUGAACGUCGGCAAACCAAAGUAGCAGCACAGCGAAAAACUAUCAAAAGACUGCAGAGACAGCCUCACCAAGCACCGUCAUCGACUUCAAAGGCCCUUGGCAUUAUCCAACUGCACGUCACCG